UUUUACAUACAAGCAAAGACAAAAAAUUCGUUCUACACAAAUAGAGAAUACAAAGAGUUGAAGUUCUCACUUUGUGAGGUUCUAGUAGACCCAAACUCGAGGAGUCAAAUUUCCAGUUUGUGUGUGGAUACUAUCAGAGAACGCUUGUAAUUUCGCAACGUUUUGUUGAUACGAAUUUGGAGGAUCAUCCUUAUCAGAACAAGGUAAUUCGAAUUUGGAACAUCGACAUAGAGGUAUGUUUAUUCGUGAUUUAAUUAUUUAUGUACGGUCAGUUUACAUUCUAAAGAUUAGAAAAAAAAAUUAUGUUAAUUCUGCUACAUUUAGCUCUAGUUCUAGUUUGUUUUCCAGCAUUAGCGAUCGUUGUGACAUCUUGAUAUGUGAAGAUAACUGGGGGACAUCUAUCGUUGUUUCAGAACAAAUUGAAGUGGAGAAAGCGUGUAAUCUCUGGGAUUGAGUUAUGACUGUGAUUUUCCUAAGGCUACAUGAAUACGUUUUCAUAGCGCCACCUAUGGUUGUCAGAGAAAUCCAAGGCUGAAAGAGGUUGUGACCGAAGAUCCAAGAACCUGAACCUAGGAGAGGACAUGGAUGAAGGAUGUGAUUUUGGCUUCGCACCUAGCUUAACCCAUUAUGGGUGGCUCUAAUAUGCACGUAGGAGCAUAUAUGGAGGUUGUUACUAUGGUAGGUGCUAAGUAUGUGUGAGCUCAUUUUGGCAGUGUGUUUCCUUGUGGAUAUGGAUCACGUGUGAGCUAUUCUUGAUCGUGUGUUUAGUAUGCUACCAUGGUUGAAUUGGAUGGAGGUUGUUACUAUGGUAGGUGCUAAGUAUGUGUGAGUUCAGUUUGGUUGUGUGUUUCCUUGUGGAUAUGGAUCACGUGUGAGCUAUUCUCGACCAUGUAUUUAGUAUGCUAUCAUGGUUAGAUUGGAUGGAGGUUGUUUCUGUGGUAGAUGCUAAAUAUAUGUAAGCUUAGUUUGACCAUGUGUUUCCUUGUGGAUAUGGAUACGUGUGAGCUAUUCUCAGUCGUGUAUCUAAUAUUCUACCAUGGAUGGAUUGGGUACAGGUUUGUUGGCAUUAUUUGUAUUAUGUGAUGAUAAUGUUUUAAAUUAUUACUUCAUUAUUGAUGCAUAUUUACACAUUCUUAGAGCAUGUUUUAUGAGUCUUUAUUUUUAAAAAAAUGUCACUCACUGAGUUUUUAGCUCACAUUAUCAAUGUUUUCUUUCUCCCAAGUUGCGGUCAAGGACCAAGCAUUGGUUGAACCCUCCGUGACCAUUUGUAGAUCUUCGUUUUUGUAUGUAUAGUUAACUUUUGUAUUGCAUCAUGGGGUGGUCAGAUGUAGCGAGAGUGACACUAAUGACUCAUGUUUUAAGGGAUCUCUCAUUAGACUGUAAUCAUUUUGUAUGCUUAUUUGAAUUUUAACUCUGCUUGAAACUCUGGAAUCGUCUGGAUGAGAGUGUGUAAAACACAUUUGUUGUGAUGUGGAAUCUGAAGUUUGCUUAUAUGCAUAUAGAAGUGAAAAUCUCUUCAUUUUCAGGUUUGGCUAACCCAUAUUUUACUAGAGAUGCUGCCAAAGUUUUUGUAGAAUAUCAUAAUAUGUGUUUCAUAGAAGUUUAAGUUGGAAAAAGUUUUUUUCAAAAGUGUUUUCAUGCCACGAUCUAGAUUAGAGAGGAAAAUCUAUAACAAAGUGUGACGGGUGAGGCGUAACUCGGUGAGCCAGAGAGUCAGAGUUGAGUCUAGGGGAAGCUAGCCCUAAACGCGGUCUGCUUAGAGAGAAAGAGUUUAAGUGAUUCUACUGUGUUAAUUUCUUCAGUGGUUUUCGCUGUAAAACAGGUCAAGGUCUCUAAAGCUAGAGUGGAAGAGCUUCAAUAAGAGAGGAGAGAAAGACUUGUUCCACUCACUAGGUGUUCAACACGUUAUCUCACAAGAGAUAUGCGUCGAAUGUCUAGGCGGAACACCCUUCAUUUGGUCACAUGGUCUGACAUUUAAGGCGGGGCAUGACAUAAAUUUUGUUUAUUGGUUGGAUCGUAAAUAGAUUAUUUAUUAGAGAAUCCAUGGUACCUAAGAAGCAACAGGUAAUUUUAGGGAUAAAACAAAAAUUUGACCAAACUGUAAUUAAAAAAUAAAACUUAUGAAGGAUUGACUUACGUGAAAUGGUCAAAUUAAUUGACACAUAAACAUUUUGCAA